rnacentral:rRNA from 1 species
AAAGAAAGUGAAUAAGGGCACAUGGAGGAUGCCUAGGCUCUGGGAGGCGAAGAAGGACGUGAUAAGCUGCGAAAAGCUGCGGGGAUUGGCAAAUACGAAACGAUCCGCAGAUAUCCGAAUGGGGCAACCCGUUAUGAGAAGAUCAUAACAUCCCGCGAAGCGGGAGGCAAACGUGGGGAACUGAAACAUCUAAGUACCCAUAGGAGAAGAAAACAAAAGUGAUUCCGCAAGUAGUGGCGAGCGAACGCGGAGAAGCCCAAACCGUCGAUGUUUCGGCAACGGCGGGGUUGAAGGACUGAAACAAAGGCAAGAAAGCUGAGAAGUGGAACGAUUUGGAAAAAUCGAUCGAAGAGGGUGACAAUCCCGUACACGAAUCGAAGCGGAAGCCGAUCAGUAUCCUGAGUAGCGCGGGACACGAGAAAUCCUGUGUGAAGCAGGCGGGACCAUCCGCCAAGGCUAAAUACUCCCCAGAGACCGAUAGUGGACCAGUACCGUGAGGGAAAGGUGAAAAGAACCUCGAACAGAGGAGUGAAAUAGACCCUGAAACCAUGUGCUUGCAAGCGGUCGGAGCUCCGAUUCGUCGGAGUGACGGCGUGCCUUUUGCAUAAUGAACCUACGAGUUACUCUUGUUGGCAAGGUUAAUCGUCAAGAGGCGAUGGAGCCGGAGCGAAAGCGAGUCUGAACAGGGCGGAAAGUCAGCAGGAGUAGACGCGAAACCAAGUGAUCUACCCUUGAGCAGGCUGAAGGUUGGGUAACACCAACUGGAGGGCCGAAUCGGUGAACGUUGAAAAGUUUUCGAAUGACUUGAGGGUAGGGGUGAAAGGCUAAUCAAACUUGGAGAUAGCUCGUACUCCCCGAAAUGCAUUUAGGUGCAGCCUCGGGCUACGAACUUACAUGAGGUAGAGCUACUGAUUGGAUGCGAGGGCUUCGCCGCCUAUCAAGUCCAGACAAACUCCGAAUGCGUGUAAGUGAUACCCGGGAGUGAGGGCGCGGGUGCUAAGGUCCGUGUCCGAAAGAGGAACAACUCAGACCAUCAGCUAAGGUCCCGAAAUAUAUGCUAAGUUGCAUUAAACGAAGUUUUGCUACCGAAACAGCUAGGAUGUUGGCUUGGAAGCAGCCAUUCAUUUAAAGAGUGCGUAACAGCUCACUAGUCGAGUGGCAAAGCAUGGAUAAUAAUCGGGCAUAAGCAUAUUACCGAAGCUAUGGAUCCGUACAAUACGGGUGGUAGGGGAGCAUUCCUGUCGGCAGAGAAGGCGUAUCGUAAGAUAUUCUGGAGCGUCAGGAAAAGCAAAUGUAGGUAUAAGUAACGAUAAAGGGGGCGAGAAACCCCCUCGCCGAAAGACUCAGGAUUCCUGAUCAACGUUAAUCGGAUCAGGGUUAGUCGGGGCCUAAGGAU